rnacentral:piRNA from 1 species
UACAUAGAGAGUUCUAAGACAGUCAGGG